rnacentral:rRNA from 1 species
UGGGGAAUAUUGCACAAUGGGGGAAACCCUGAUGCAGCGACGCCGCGUGAGUGAAGAAGUAUUUCGGUAUGUAAAGCUCUAUCAGCAGGGAAGAUAAUGACGGUACCUGACUAAGAAGCCCCGGCUAACUACGUGCCAGCAGCCGCGGUAAUACGUAGGGGGCAAGCGUUAUCCGGAUUUACUGGGUGUAAAGGGUGCGUAGGUGGCAUGGCAAGUCAGAAGUGAAAGCCCGGGGCUCAACCCCGCGGACUGCUUUUGAAACUGUCAGGCUGGAGUACAGGAGAGGUAAGCGGAAUUCCUAGU